GUGGGCCCUCGAAAUCCUCUGGCGGGAGGAUUCAGUUAGGUGAGGCUGAGGUGAGAAUGGUCGACUAAACGGACCCUUUCCGGGGACGGGCUAUACUCACGGUCUUGGCUUUACCUGACGCACUUCCUCCCGCACGAAGGACGCCGCAUCCGGUUGGGUAGCUGCGCGAGUCGGCCAUGAGGACAGGCGCCGGCAGUUGGCCGGUGGCAUCGCUUCAGCUUUGCCGCCGGUUGUUAGCCAGCUUGUCCGUGGCGCGACACCCGACCGAGGUUGAAUAGUUCCCGCAUGGGAACUCGCCGUCCCCUUCCGUUUGUGGAGUGGGCACUUCGGCAGGUGUUUCGCGGUGUCGCCUCGUCACUCUUUGUAGUGGCCGGCGCUCCGCGUUCCCUGUUGGCCGAAAGUGUACCGCAGGGGUGCAGGCGGCUAGCGGCGAGUGAGUCGGUCACCCACCUGACCCGUCUUGAAACACGGACCAAGGAGUCUAACAUGUGCGCAAGUCACGGGGUCUUGAUUAGGCCCAGAGGCGCAAUGAAAGUGAAGGUCGACCUCGACGUCGGCUAUGUUGGGAUUUCUCGUCCUUUGUGGCGGGAAAGCACCAACAAUCCGUCCUAUCCGAUUUAUCGGUUGGCCGGAAUUGGAGCGUACACGUUGGGACCCGAAAGAUGGUGAACUAUGCCUGGGCAGGACGAAGCCAGAGGAAACUCUGGUGGAGGUCCGUAGCGGUUCUGACGUGCAAAUCGAUCGUCAGACCUAGGUAUAGG
rnacentral:rRNA from 1 species